rnacentral:rRNA from 1 species
AGAGUUUGAUCAUGGCUCAGAUUGAACGCUGGCGGCAUGCUUUACACAUGCAAGUCGAACGGCAGCACGGGGGCAACCCUGGUGGCGAGUGGCGAACGGGUGAGUAAUACAUCGGAACGUGCCCAGUAGUGGGGGACAACCAGUCGAAAGACUGGCUAAUACCGCAUACGACCUAUGGGUGAAAGCGGGGGAUCGCAAGACCUCGCGCUAUUGGAGCGGCCGAUGUCCGAUUAGCUUGUUGGUGGGGUAAAAGCCCACCAAGGCGACGAUCGGUAGCUGGUCUGAGAGGACGGCCAGCCACACUGGGACUGAGACACGGCCCAGACUCCUACGGGAGGCAGCAGUGGGGAAUUUUGGACAAUGGGCGAAAGCCUG